GACGAACGCUGGCGGCGUGCUUAACACAUGCAAGUCGAACGGAAAGGCCCUGCUUUUGUGGGGUGCUCGAGUGGCGAACGGGUGAGUAACACGUGAGUAACCUGCCCUUGACUUUGGGAUAACUUCAGGAAACUGGGGCUAAUACCGGAUAGGAGCUCCUGCUGCAUGGUGGGGGUUGGAAAGUUUCGGCGGUUGGGGAUGGACUCGCGGCUUAUCAGCUUGUUGGUGGGGUAGUGGCUUACCAAGGCUUUGACGGGUAGCCGGCCUGAGAGGGUGACCGGCCACAUUGGGACUGAGAUACGGCCCAGACUCCUACGGGAGGCAGCAGUGGGGAAUAUUGUACAAUGGGCGGAAGCCUGAUGCAGCAACGCUGCGUGCGGGAUGACGGCCUUCGGGUUGUAAACCGCUUUCGCCUGUGACGAAGCGUGAGUGACGGUAAUGGGUAAAGAAGCACCGGCUAACUACGUG
rnacentral:rRNA from 1 species